AGAGUUUGAUCCUGGCUCAGGGUGAACGCUGGCGGCGUGGAUAAGGCAUGCAAGUCGAGUGGGUUUAGACCCACGGCAGACGAGGUAGUAACACGUAGAUACAUACCCCAAAGUCGGGCAUAUCCCAUCGAAAGAUGGUGUAAUUCCCGAUGGUCUCUUCGGAGUAAAGAUUUAUCGCUUUGGGAAUGGUCUGCGGAGUAUCAGCUAGUUGGUAAGGUAAUGGCUUACCAAGGCUAUGACGCUUAGGGGAGGUGAGAGCCUGGCCCCCACCGAUGGGACUGAGACACGGCCCAUACACCUACGGGUGGCUGCAGUCGAGAAUCUUCCGCAAUGGACGCAAGUCUGACGGAGCGACGCCGCGUGAUGGAUGACUUUCUUCGGGAUGUAAACAUCUUUUAUGAGGGAAGAAGCCGAGUUAUUCGGUAUGA
rnacentral:rRNA from 1 species